UACGUAGGGUGCGAGCGUUAAUCGGAAUUACUGGGCGUAAAGCGUGCGCAGGCGGUGAUGUAAGACAGUUGUGAAAUCCCCGGGCUCAACCUGGGAACUGCAUUUGUGACUGCAAGGCUGGAGUACGGUAGAGGGGGAUGGAAUUCCGCGUGUAGCAGUGAAAUGCGUAGAUAUGCGGAGGAACACCGAUGGCGAAGGCAAUCCCCUGGACCUGUACUGACGCUCAUGCACGAAAGCGUGGGGAGCAAACAGG
rnacentral:rRNA from 1 species